UGGGGAAUUUUUGUCAAUGGGGGAAACCCUGAACAAGCAACGCCGCGUGAAGGACGAAGACCUUCGGGUUGUAAACUUCUGUCGGAGGGGACGAAAGCGAUCGCGGUCAAUACCCGUGGUCGUUGACGGUACCCUACGAGGAAGCCCCGGCUAACUCCGUGCCAGCAGCCGCGGUAAUACGGGGGGGGCAAGCGUUGUUCGGAAUUACUGGGCGUAAAGGGCGCGCAGGCGGGCGGGACAGUCUCUCGUGAAAGCCCACGGCCUCAACCGUGGAACUGCGGGAGAUACUACUCGUCUUGAGUCCGGGAGAGGAGUGUGGAAUUCCCAGUGUAGCGGUGAAAUGCGUAGAUAUUGGGAGGAACACCGGUGGCGAAGGCGGCACUCUGGACCGGUACUGACGCUGAGGCGCGAAAGCUAGGGGAGCAAACGGGAUUAGAUACCCCGGUAGUCCUAGCCGUAAACGAUGAGCACUUGGUGUAGCGGGUAUCGACCCCCGCUGUGCCGAAGCUAACGCAUU
rnacentral:rRNA from 1 species